rnacentral:tRNA from 1 species
GUCAAUGCGAUGUAGUGGUGUGAGUGUUGGACUAUGACUCUGGAGACCAGGGUUCAAUUCCCUGCUUGGCCA